ensembl:lncRNA novel transcript
CUCAGCCUGAAAGUUGUCUUCACAGACCAUCGUACUCAUACUCUGACUUCUAGAUGGGGUAAUGGGGAAGCCAGGAACAUUUGAUCUGGGCUUGAUAAAUGGACACACAGAUGAAGGAAGAAACAAAUGAAGUAUGGCACCUAUGAAGGCUGGAGGACUCAGGGACAACUCCUGGAUGAGAUGAGCUGUGAUGAGGACACAAAGGAUUUCUAAACUGCUUUGCUGAUUUGAUCUGGGGCCCUGGAGUGCCAACAUCCUGUGAUAGCGGCUGAUUGUUGAUGCCUGGGAGGAUACAGCAGUGACGAUCCAAAUUUACAAGACUCAACAUGGUUUUCAAAACUUCCUUUUAAAAAAGAUGUUCCUGAGUUCUGGAAUCUGAACAAAAUAUGUCUGGUUAUUAUAUAAUUCUAAUGGUCCUUGUGGAUGCUACCAUUAGAGUUCAGUUAGUGUCUCAUCUAUCACUGUAAUAUUUGUAUUGUAACACUAAUCGUGGCAAAGUAUGAUUUGAUAAAUGCUCAUUCUCAAAUCU